AGAGACAGCAGUAGCCACGGGAAUACGAAGGGUGCAAGCGUUACUCGGAAUUACUGGGCGUAAAGCGUGCGUAGGUGGUGGUUUAAGUCCGUUGUGAAAGCCCUGGGCUCAACCUGGGAAUUGCAGUGGAUACUGGGUCACUAGAGUGUGGUAGAGGAUAGUGGAAUUUCCGGUGUAGCAGUGAAAUGCGUAGAGAUCGGAAGGAACAUCUGUGGCGAAGGCGACUAUCUGGGCCAACACUGACACUGAGGCACGAAAGCGUGGGGAGCAAACAGGAUUAGAGACCCCCGUAGUCCCUGUCUCUUAUAC
rnacentral:rRNA from 1 species